AUUGAACGCUGGCGGCAGGCCUAACACAUGCAAGUCGAACGGUAACAGGAAGAAGCUUGCUUCUUUGCUGACGAGUGGCGGACGGGUGAGGAAUGUCUGGGAAACUUCCUGAUGGAGGGGGAUAACUACUGGAAACGGUAGCUAAUACCGCAUAACGUCGCAAGACCAAAAAGGGGGACCUUCGGGCCUCUUGCCAUCGGAUGUGCCCAGAUGGGAUUAGCUAGUAGGUGGGGUAACGGCUCACCUAGGCGACGAUCCCUAGCUGGUCUGAGAGGAUGACCAGCCACACUGGAACUGAGACACGGUCCAGACUCCUACGGGAGGCAGCAGUGGGGAAUAUUGCACAAUGGGCGCAAGCCUGAUGCAGCCAUGCCGCGUGUAUGAAGAAGGCCUUCGGGUUGUAAAGUACUUUCAGCGGGGAGGAAGGGAGUAAAGUUAAUACCUUUGCUCAUUGACGUUACCCGCAGAAGAAGCACCGGCUAACUCCGUG
rnacentral:rRNA from 1 species